GAAAAUUUAACGAUAGAACCGAAUAGGCAAUAAUAACGCUUUUAAAACCACGCUAAAUAAAACUAGAACGUCGCUUGCUCCACAGAUUAAGGAUCUUUCUCCGAGGAUUGCUGGCAUAAUGGCUUGCGCCAACUAUUUGAUAUUUUAAUCCACGCUUCAGGGAACAUUAUAUAAAUUGAAGUUGUUAUCCGAUAUAUCUAUCGUUUAAUGUUAGAUAUAACAAAAUCAUGUCUGUUAAAGUACAUUAUCUGAAUUAAUGUUAAUAAUCGUGAAACUAGAAAAGAAGACUAGUAACUUGAUACAAGUACUGUGAACUACCGUUAUUUUACCCAACUCCCGUCUUUAUUUUUCAAGAAUUUUAUCCGCUUUUACCGUAAGUUUUGAAAACAAAGAAUCACAGAAAAUAUGUAUACUUUGCGAUUAUUUUGCGAUCCCAGGAAGCAAUCAUCAAGCAAGCAUUCAACUUCAAAGAAUGAUGUAUUUAAAUAUUAACAUCGAAGACAGGCGACAGGCGACAAGCGAGAGGCGACAGGCGACUGGUGACAGGCGACAGAUAACAGGAAACAGGUAACAAGCAACAGGCAACACUCAAGUUUCCAGUAACGUCCGCGCUUACAUCCGUGCCGAUGAAUGAUUCAAGCAGGCAAAGCCGGCCUGCUUUCUCUCGUUAUAUUUACGAAAUGUAUUUGAGCAAAAGAUUCGUGUCUCUCCGCUAGUAUAUUCUUGCGUUACCUUACCUCUUGCGUAAUGCGUAACUUCCGUUUACAGAACUAGAUAUUUCUCAUACUGAAGCUACCACUACACUUUGCUAAGCAAUUUCUCGUUUAGUUUUUUUAUAUUUUGUUCGAAAUAACACGGAAGAAACGGAAAUAUGCAUAGAGCUAGACAGAGUUUGUUAGAAGAUAUUGGAGACGAUAGUAAAUAUGUUAUUUCUAAAUGAUCACACGUCGAAUAGCACUCUUUGUGUUGUUGUAGGUUGUUAAUAUAAUAAUGUCAAAUAUAAUAACAACUAUAGAAGCGUAAUAUGAUAUACUUUAUUAUUAUUAAUACAGUAUAUAAACGACUUUAACGGUGUUUUUCAUUAUUUAUUCGUUAUUUUUCUUUUUCUAUUCGAUAAUUUCUAAUUUUUAAAGGAGGAAUGUGUAUGAAAAUUGACAAGUUUGAUUUAACUUGCCGAUUGCUUAAAUUAAAUUAUAGCUACAUCAUGUUAAAAAAAAAAACAUUAUAAUAAAUUAAUUUGCGCGUGAGAAAGCUUAAGCGUAUAGGGAUGUUUCAGGUUUUAACGAAUAAAUUAAGCUUCUGUACA